rnacentral:rRNA from 1 species
GGAGGAUCAUUAUCGUAGGGCUUCGGCCCUGUCGAGAUAGAACCCUUGCCUUUUUGAGUACCUUUCGUUUCCUCGGCAGGCUCGCCUGCCAAUGGGGACCACAAAAAACACUUUGCAGUACCUGUAACAGUCUGAACAAACAAAACAAAAAUUAAAACUUUCAACAACGGAUCUCUUGGUUCUGGCAUCGAUGAAGAACGCAGCGAAAUGCGAUAAGUAGUGUGAAUUGCAGAAUUCAGUGAAUCAUCGAAUCUUUGAACGCACAUUGCGCCCUUUGGUAUUCCUUAGGGCAUGCCUGUUCGAGCGUCAUUUAAACCUUCAAGCUAAGCUUGGUGUUGGGUGACUGUCCGCUUCACUGCGGACUCGCCUCAAAAUUAUUGGCGGCCGGUACAUUGGCUUCGAGCGCAGCAGAAACGCGAACUCGGGCCCGUCGUAUUGGCACCCAGAAGCUAUCUUCACAAUUUUGACCUCGGAUCAGGUAGGGAUACCCGCUGAACUUAAGCAUAUCAAUAAGCGGAGGA